rnacentral:ncRNA from 2 species
UCCUCCAAGGAGCGUUGCAGCGCACCCGAAUGUGCGUCAGGCUUGGAGCCUACUUUUCGCAACGACGCUCACCUGAC